rnacentral:lncRNA from 1 species
UAUAAAACGUUUUACACUGACAAUGUAUAGUAAUUAAUCUCUAAUAAAUAAUAUACAAAAAUUUCUUAUUAAAAUAAAAUUAGCAUUUAAAUUUUCUCACAAUUUAAUAAUUAGGUCGGAUCCAUAAAAUAAAUAAAUAAAAAUUUGUGAUUCACUGAAUAGGUGAAACUAUGUAAAAUAAAAAAAAAUUGUGAUUCACUGAAUAGGUGAAACUAUGUAAAAUAAAAAAA